GACGAACGCUGGCGGCGUGCCUAAUACAUGCAAGUAGAACGCAGUUGCGAACGGGUGAGUAACGCGUAGGUAACUGCCUCAUAGCGGGGGGUAACUAUAUGAAACGAUAGCUAAAACCGCAUACUGUGGGAUGGACCUGCGUUGUAUUUGCUAGUUGGUGGGGGAAAGGCUCACCAAGGCGACGAUACAUAGCUGGUUUGGGAGGACGACCAGCCACACUGGGACUGAGACACGGCCCAGACUCCUACGGGAGGCAGCAGUGGGGAAUUUUGGACAAUGGGGGAAACCCUGAUCCAGCCAUGCCGCGUGUGUGAUGAAGGCCUUCGGGUUGUAAAGCACUUUUAGCAGGAAAGCGGUACCUGCAGAAUAAGCACCGGCUAACUACGUGCCAGCAGCCGCGGUAAUAC
rnacentral:rRNA from 1 species